UACAGAGGUCUCAAGCGUUGUUCGGAUUCAUUGGGCGUAAAGGGUGCGUAGGCGGCGCGGUAAGUCGGGUGUGAAAUCUUGGAGCUUAACUCCGAAACUGCAUUCGAUACUGCCGUGCUUGAGGACUGGAGAGGAGACUGGAAUUUACGGUGUAGCGGUGAAAUGCGUAGAUAUCGUAAGGAAGACCAGUGGCGAAGGCGGGCCUCUGGACAGUUCCUGACGCUGAGGCACGAAGGUCAGGGGAGCAAACGGG
rnacentral:rRNA from 1 species